rnacentral:rRNA from 1 species
UACAGAGGGUGCAAGCGUUAUCCGGAUUCACUGGGUUUAAAGGGUGCGUAGGAGGGCAGGUAAGUCAGUGGUGAAAUCUCCAAGCUUAACUUGGAAACUGCCGUUGAUACUAUCUGUCUUGAAUAUUGUGGAGGUGAGCGGAAUAUGUCAUGUAGCGGUGAAAUGACUUAGAUAUGGCAUAGAACACCAAAUUGCGAAGGCAU